CUUGCCCUUGGAGGUGUUACAGGUAUGUUUGCUGCAUCACACAUUCUUCAGUAGGCGGCAGAGUGGAGUGAGGCUAUGCUCAGCGUUCUGACCUGUGAACAUCUGAAUGGUUAGUAGCCUAAUAUG
ensembl:snoRNA LOC120097996 small nucleolar RNA SNORA17